AAUAGGAAAUAAAUGUGUCCGCCUUUAUAACAGGAAGUAAAGAAGAAUGAUGUAAUUUGCAGAAAAGACUUAUGGAGCCCAAAGAAGAUAACUAUGAAAUAUUAUACAGUCGUGAAGAGAACUUCAAUCGAAAGACAUACCAAAGAGAAGAUAUACAUGAACUUUUGUACAGUCGCGUGUCUGUUAAAACCGACAGCUGUCAUAAUGUGAUCCCGUCUACAUUGAAUGUGGACAAUGCUACCCAAUCGAGUAGAUGUGUGUGCGAGGUCGAUUGGUAUGA